UCCUUGAGUCUGCAGUCAGUUAUGCUGAAAACAAUUUUGUCCCUCAACAUAACAUCCUCAGCAGAUCUAAAUUCAUAAUGCUGUGCUCUGUUCAGCAUUUGCA